rnacentral:lncRNA from 12 species
CAAGGGAACAGCUGGAGCUGUGUCUAGGGAGGUUUAGGUUGGAUGCCAGGAAAAGAUGCUUUUCCCAGAGGAUGAUCGGGCACUGAACAGGCUCCCCUGGGAACAGCUACGGCUGCCAGAGCUCCAGAAGUCUUUGGACAAUGCUUUCAGGUACAGGGUGGGAUUGCUGUGUUGUCCUGUGCAGGGACAGGAAUUGGACUCAAUGAUCACUGUGGUCCCUUCCAACUCAGGAUAUUCCAUGUUUCUGUGACCUCAGGGUGAGCUACUCCCAGAGGAUCUCUCUGGCACGAAUCCCCCUUUUCUCUACAGCUGCUGUCCCACGUGUCUGCCUCCUCCUUGGGUCAUUUUGCAUGUACCCACCUCAAGUCAUGGACAGAUGUCCAACAGAGGCUGAUUUACCUCAAAUUAAGUGGCCAGGGUCUGAUUGUGAACUGUUUGGAGUGCAGUCCCAGCCCUGGAGAAGUUGGGGACUGUGCCCUUGUAGGUGCUGGGCUACCUUUGGGGUUUUGCAAUAAUUGAGGGAAAGGAUCCAGACCUGCUCUUGACUCAGCCAUUUUAUAGCACCUCCUGAGCUCAGCGAAGCUGGCGCUAAACCUCGGUUGCUCUGAUCAUGACAAAUAGGAGCUGGAGAGCCAAAUUCAGUGCAGAGUCACUGCCUGCCUGUGGAGCUGCUGCUUUUCCUGCUUUUGGUUAUUGAUUUGGUGUGUGGCUGGUGGCUCUGCCACCCACACUGGCCAGGAUGGUGCUCUGUGAAACCAGAGGAGCCUUGGGAUGCUGGUGGGACUUGUCCUGCCCGUGUCUUCACUCACCUCUGUGGAAGGAGCCAGCCUGGGGGAUGAAGCUCAGCUGGCUUUGUGGCCGAGUGCAAGGCAGGGGACACUGCGUGAGGCUGGGAGCCCCACUGAAGAAUGGCUCAGGUAGGUGUUUUCCAGCCCCUGGGCUGAAGGAGCCAUACCCGAGGGCAUGGAGCUCUUCAGGCAUCAGCAUGAGGUCUGUAGGUCUUCUGGAAAGACAGAAAAGCUGGGAUGUCUGCCUGGGGGAUGCUGGCAAUUCUGGGACGGUGUGAACCCUGUUCUUGCUGCACCAGCACAGCUGCAUCCCCGAAGAGCCACCCUCGGGGGGAUACGAGAGCCCCGAGGGACUGCAGCGCACCCGGCACGGCGGUGCGGGCGGUGGGAUGGGGCGGUGGGAUGGGGGGGGGGGGGGGGGGGGGGG